ACAUUGACUUCUUAGACAUAUCGUUUUGGAGAAAUCCUUACUAUUCAUUACUACUUGAUCUUUAUCCUCUGAUUUUAACAUCAGGGAAAAUUACCUUAUACGAAAUUUGGAUUCAAUACUUCUUGUUCUUUAUCGUCUACUUUUUAACCAGAAUGAAAAGACAAGUGGAUUUUGAUUUAUCAAAACCAUGCCAUAAAUCAAAAAAAAGGGUUAUUUUAUUUUAAUAAAUUAUAUA